CCGGCGAAAAACCGCCCAUGCCAAGCGGGGGAUACUAACCGCCCGGAGCCUGCCCUAUCACCCUUGUGGUGUGUGGGUUUUGGCCGAGCGCGGGACCUGAUCCCGGGAGGUAAGCGUAUUAACAGGUGUGACGCAGGAAGGUAGCCGGGCCGGGCGAUGGUUGCCCCGGUCUAAGGAUGUAGGGUCAGGGAUAGGCAAAUCCGUUCCUGUGUGUUGAAUCACGAUCCUGAGAUCUGAUGGGACUCCCGUUUGGGGGGAUCCGGUGAUCCUAUGCUGCCAAGAAAAGCAUCGACGCGAGGUUUUAGCCGCCCGUACCCCAAACCGACACAGGUGAUCAGGUAGAGAAUACCAAGGCGAUCGAGAGAAUUAUGGUUAAGGAACUCGGCAAAAUGCCCCCGUAACUUCGGGAGAAGGGGGGCCUGCCCCGUGAUGGAGACUUGCUCUCCGUGAGCGGGUGUGGGCCGCAGAGACCAGGGGGAAGCGACUGUUUACUAAAAACACAGGUCCGUGCGAAGUCGCAAGACGAUGUAUACGGACUGACUCCUGCCCGGUGCUGGAAGGUUAAGAGGACCGGUUAGCCACCUUGUGUGGCGAAGCUGAGAAUUUAAGCCCCAGUAAACGGCGGUGGUAACUAUAACCAUCCUAAGGUAGCGAAAUUCCUUGUCGGGUAAGUUCCGACCUGCACGAAUGGAGUAACGACUUCCCCGCUGUCUCAACCAUAAACUCGGCGAAAUUGCAGUACGAGUAAAGAUGCUCGUUACGCGCAGCAGGACGGAAAGACCCCGAGACCUUUACUAUAGUUUGGUAUUGGUGUUCGGAGUGGCUUGUGUAGGAUAGGUGGGAGACGUUGAAACCCGGACGCCAGUUCGGGUGGAGUCAUCGUUGAAAUACCACUCUGGUCACUUUGGACAUCUAACUUCGGCCCGUGAUCCGGGUCAGGGACAGUGCCUGAUGGGUAGUUUAACUGGGGCGGUUGCCUCCUAAAAAGUAACGGAGGCGCCCAAAGGUUCCCUCAGCCUGGUUGGCAAUCAGGUGUCGAGUGUAAGUGCACAAGGGAGCUUGACUGUGAGAGAGACAUCUCAAGCAGGGACGAAAGUCGGGACUAGUGAUCCGGCGGUACAUUGUGGAAUGGCCGUCGCUCAACGGAUAAAAGGUACCUCGGGGAUAACAGGCUGAUCUUGCCCAAGAGUCCAUAUCGACGGCAUGGUUUGGCACCUCGAUGUCGGCUCGUCGCAUCCUGGGGCUGGAGUAGGUCCCAAGGGUUGGGCUGUUCGCCCAUUAAAGCGGUACGCGAGCUGGGUUUAGAACGUCGUGAGACAGUUCGGUCCCUAUCCGCUGCGCGCGCAGGAAAUUUGAGAAGGGCUGUCCUUAGUACGAGAGGACCGGGACGGACGAACCUCUGGUGUGUCAGUUGUACUGCCAAGUGCAUCGCUGAUUAGCUACGUUCGGAUGGGAUAACCGCUGAAAGCAUCUAAGCGGGAAGCUCGCUUCAAGAUGAGAUUUCCAUACACAUAAUGUGUGAGAGGCCCCCAGCCAGACCACUGGGUUGAUAGGCCGGAUGUGGAAGCGAGGACUAAAGACUCGUGAAGCUGACCGGUACUAAUAGGCCAACAACUUACACC
rnacentral:rRNA from 1 species